rnacentral:rRNA from 1 species
ACUCCUACGGGAGGCAGCAGUGGGAAUCUUAGACAAUGGGGGAAACCCUGAUCUAGCCAUGCCGCGUGAGUGACGAAGGCCCUAGGGUCGUAAAGCUCUUUCGCUGGGGAAGAUAAUGACUGUACCCAGUAAAGAAACCCCGCUACUCCGUGCCAGCAGCCGCGGUAAUACGGAGGGGUUAGCGUUGUUCGGAAUUACUGGGCGUAAAGCGCGCGUAGGCGGACUAUUAAGUCAGAGGUGAAAUCCCGGGGCUCAACCCC